UGGUCCAAGUUAAAAGGCAGACACUACUGAAGCUCCAGAGAAGACUCAGUAGCUUCUCGUUUCUGGCAUUUUGGUCACUGGCAUUUGGCAAAACGGCCCUUGAUUUAACCACAGAAAAGGAAUUUGCUGAUACUCAACCAGUCCGCCCCGACUAGUUGUGGACGAUGUCUGCCAGCUGCCUACAGAAUCCACCCCUUUCCUUUGGAAUUCUCUCCUCCUCCUGACGCUGACAAUACCCUUGCCCUUCAGAGGACCUGCCUUCCCACUCUCCAUUGGACACUGUCGAACUUCUUGACGUCCAGUCCCAAGGGCACAGCCACCGCAGGACUUCACGUCUGCCUGCCUGAGCAGGGCUGGUGUCUUAUGAAUGGCAGCUGAGACCCAGUUUGGGCUCACAAUCUCAUAUCACAGAAAUGAACUCAAAGGAAAAUGACUCAUCACCGACCUACUCAGAAUCAUUGGUCCCCGGCAAGCAAGGGUGAUCCUGCAUCGAUCUAUUAAUUUUCAUUUCCGGGGUUCUCAGAUGUAAAACAAAUGUUUGAUGUAAUCCGCAACACUGCUCUGUUAUAAUUAAACAACCUCCUACUGCCUAAAUUGGCAAAGCACUCCAUCGAUCAGUGAUAAAUGUGGUCCUUGGGAGACUGCUUUUAUGUUUGUUUCACUCAUGGGAAAAUGGCCACAACCCUUUUGUAAGAUUCCUCGGCUGCUGCUCUCCCCAGGUUACAAUCAUAGUAACUGCUGCUUCUGGGAUGCCUCGCUGUAAUCCUCAUGUUCAAUGAUGGCUCAGUGGAUAUGUGCUUGAAGGAGAGUGAGUGAUGGGGAGUCUACAAUUAUGAAUAAAAUAUAUUCAAGUCAAUAAACCCUUCCUGGGUUCCUUUGCCUCACCAUUUUAUGCACAAUUUAUGAAGCACCCUACACAUACCAGGAGCUAUUUGCAAUGUUUAAGAUGUGGGAGCCCCCAUAAUUCUAAAUAUGUCAUGUAUCAUCUACUUUCCUCUUUGCAAAGUGGAGGGGUUGGAUUCCUGCCAGGCCUGAUAAUAUAGAUCUGCUGUUCACACAUAGCAUAUAGGAGGCCCUGAUGACUUCCUACUCAUUGCUUCCCUCAUUGUCCAAUUGUUGGGGCCAUUGGGCUGCUGUAUUCAGGCCAGCCCUUGCCCUAGAUCCUAGGAUCCAGCCAGACUUGAGGCAAGGAGACACAUUGCUGUCAGUGUUCCAUCACCCCUAUGGUUAGGCCUCACUGGCUCUGCCACAGUUCAGACACCAAGGCUCCUGCCUUAGUUUUCUAAGAGAUGUUCCCUACAUUGCGCCUGAAUUCAUCCAGUUCAUUUUCACAGAAUAUACUUGAUCUAGUUUAAGCAGAAAGGGAUGUAUCACAGGCUACUAAAUGGCUUAUGAAAUCCUUGGAAAAGCUGAAUAAAUAGACCUUAGGGGGAGCCCCUAGAGCUACUCUCAAAGCUAUCUAGCAGAACCUGGCCACAUUUCCAACCAGGAAGCUGCCUGCAGAAUCAGCAAACAGCCCCCACAUCCGCUGGCUUCAGAACCACCCACCUCUGCUCUCCCCACACAAGUGAGCAGACAUCUCAGCCCUGCCUUUCUGGCCGCCUGACUGCUUGCAAAUUAAAUCUCUCCCAUUUGCACCAGGAAGAGGACCCUAGAUGAUGUCUAGAACUUUGGUUUCUGAUGACUCUAAGGAAUGAGAUUUUUCACCUGCUCAGCCUCUGCAGUCUGGGAAAAACCAGAAGUGUGUUGGAAGUGACACUGAAUGAUCUGGCCCUCAGAUUUGUCAGUUUCCCAAGCAGCAACUUGGCCCUUGCAUAUAUUGAUUUUUAAAUUUCUGUAGUUUGCUCAAUCACCCAGGGCUCUGGGAGCCCAUUUCUAUUGGCUGGAAACCCACUGGGAACCAGCUACUUGCUGACAAAUUCCAAUCCUAUUACUAUUUUGUAUUGAAUAUUUACUCUGCACAGUUCCUAAUUUUCUGCGAAAUGCCUUUUCUCUUUACCACCCUUUGACACAGUUACUGCUCUGUAAACUGAAACACCACUUCUUAUGGCCGCAGUUGUUUGUGCUACGAAUAAGUAAUUCCCUAAGCUCAGCCCAUCAGAUUUUCUCUCGAAUCUGUGGGCUGGAAAUCAAGAUGGUUGAGAACAGCUCUUCUUCUAGUGGCUGAAGUGGUAAAAAUAAUCUCAGUGUGGGUGUGGUGGCUAACACCUGUAAUCUCAGCACUUUGGGAGGCUGAGGUAGGGGGACCACUUUAGGCCUGGAGUUUGAGACCAGCCUGGGCAACACAGCAAGAACCCAUCUCUCCAAAUAAAAAAUUAGUUGGGCAUGGUGGCAUGCGCCUGUGGUCCCAGGUACUUGAGAGGAUGAGGCAGGUGGAUUGCUUGAGUCCAGGAGUUCAAGGCUACAGUGAGCUGUGAUCACACCACUGCACUCCAGUCUGGGCAACAGAGUGAGACGCUGUUUCUAAAAAAAAUAAAAUAAAAUAUGUACAAUUUUUUAAAAAGAAUCUCAGGAGCUCUCAGGCGUGGAGCUCUCAGGCGUCCAGCUCUCAGGAUGCCUGGUCCUGUAAGGGCCUCCAAGAGUGGCUGGAGAGCGGGGCAUGAUGCCUCUUGGGCCACCUUGCAAAGAGCUCACAAGUUCUGCCAGUGAGGAUAGAACCAUCUAUCAUGAGAGUAAAGAAUCAGUGGAUGAGAAGAUGGAAAUAAAGCCAUGACCUGGAGAGGGUGUCCCAAGGCCAUUUCCAUCUCUGGUUUCAGCUUCUCCUGCAUCCUUGCCGCAUUCUAGUUUCAGGGCUCCAUGAGGUAUCUCCAUGUCCUUGUUAUGUUCCCAUUUCUCUUAUUUUGCUUUAGUUUGAGUUGGCCUCCUCUCACAUGAAACAGGGAGUCCACAGUACCAUUGACCCUUGAACUGCACGAGCUUGAAUUGCAUGGGUCCACUUAUAUAUGGAUUUUCUUUUACCUCUGCCACCCCUGAGACAGCAAGACCUAUCCCUCCUUCCUCUUUCCAUCAGUGUACUCAACAUGAAGAUGAUUAGGAUGAAGACCUUCGUGAUGAUGCACUUCUAUUUAAGGAAUAGUAACUAUAUUUUCACUUUCUUAUAAUUUUCUUAAUAACAUUUUCUAUUCUCCAGCUUACUUUAUUGUAAGAAUAUAGUACAUAAUAUAUAUAACAUACAAAAUAUGGGUAAUGCACUGUUCAUGUUAUUGGUAAAGUGUACAGAGCACCUGUGACAUAAGUAAGUCCAUCUUAGAAAAAGACUCCAUCUUACAUUUCAAAAGGCAUCAUGACAACAGGACCAGAUGUUCCCCUAA